rnacentral:lncRNA from 1 species
AUCAACCCAAUCCAAAAAUCGACCCAACAUAUUUAAAUCCCAAUUGUUGAUCAAAAUUUAUCAAUGGAACCCAAACAUUCCCCCACUCUCCUUAUAUCCCCUCACCCAAAUCCUUAUUCCCAUUUCUCUUCAACAGCCACCCAAACACUCUUCUCUCCCUCAGAAACCUUAGCCACCCUCUCAGUCUUCUCUGAAUUCCUUUUAUUCAUGGAUUCCUUCCAUGAUUUUCUUGCCUUUUAUGUGUUAUCUCAGUAUUACUUACAAGACUAUGGCAUCACUCAGUACUCGACUAAACUUAGCAAGUACUAUCAUCUCAGAUUUGGGCUCGUUCAGCUUCAACCACUAGACUCUAGAUAAUAUCUCGUCCAUAUACAUGAAAGAAUCGUUGGUUUCUCACACCAGCAGAUGAAUUUUCAAACAAUGAACCAUAAUCAGGGUUUGACUUUCAAUUUCUUUCAUUUACUGUUUGUUUUCUGAUUGCAUACAUGUUUUUCCUUUCUCUGUUCAUAUUUGAUUGAUUUCUUUCUUUAUUUACUAGCCUGAUUUAUCGACUAUACAAAUCCCUCCUAUUCCCCUUUGAGGCAGACCUUG